UCGGUCGGUCCCUUCGACCGUAAGUCGGUCGGUCGGUUCCUCCGGCCAUCGGUCGGUCGGUCGGUGGGUAUUCCCCAACAGUUGCCCCCCUCCACUCCUGAGUCGGAUGGUGAGCUGGCCGAUGCUUUCAUUCGGGCAGCAAUCCUGGGCGACUGGGAGUGGAUUUAUCGUAUGCACAGAUCCGACCGUACCGCCGAUUGACCCGAUGUCAGGCACCU
rnacentral:lncRNA from 1 species